rnacentral:rRNA from 1 species
CCUACGGGAGGCUGCAGUAGGGAAUAUUGCUCAAUGGGGGCAACCCUGAAGCAGCAACGCCGCGUGGAGGAUGACGGUUUUCGGAUUGUAAACUCCUUUUGUUAGAGAAGAUAAUUGCGGUAUCUAACGCAUACUCAACGGCUAACGCCGUUCCAGCAGCCGCGGUAAUACGGAGGGUGCAAGCGUUACUCGGAAUCACUGGGCGUAAAGCGCGCGUAGGCGGGAUAGCAAGUCAGAUGUGAAAUCCUAUGGCUUAACCAUAGAACUGCAUUUGAAACUGUGAUUCUAGAGUAUGGGAGAGGUAGGUGGAAUUCUUGGUGUAGGGGUAAAAUCCGUAGAGAUCAAGAGGAAUACUCAUUGCGAAGGCGACCUGCUAGAACAUAACUGACGCUGAUGCGCGAAAGUGUGGGGAGCAAACAGGAUUAGAUACCCCAGUAGUC